AGUGAACGCUGGCGGCGUGCCUAAUACAUGCAAGUCGAACGGAGUGGCGCACGGGUGAGUAAUGUAUAGCUAAUCUGCCCUACACUAGAGGACAACAGUUGGAAACGGCUGCUAAUACUCUAUAGUGUAGGAUGAGGCUAUAUUGUAUCAGCUAGUUGGUGAGGUAGUGGCUCACCAAGGCUAUGACGCAUAACGUGUCUGAGAGGAUGAUCAGUAACCCUGGAACGGAGACACGGGUCAGACUCCUACGGGAGGGAGCAGUAGGGAAUAUUGCUCAAGGGGGGAAAGCCUGGAGCAGCUACGCCGCGUGGAGGAUGACACUUUUCGGAGCGUAAACUCCUGUUGUUAGGGAAGCGGUACCUAACGAAUAAGCACCGGCUAACUCCGUGCCAGCAGCCGCGGUAAUUC
rnacentral:rRNA from 1 species